UACAGUUGGGGUAAAUAAACUUUUUUGGUUAAUUAUUGUUAUGUUUUAUUAUAGGAUUUUUUUUUGUACAUUUAAGGUGAAAUUUCAAUUUACUUUGAUUAGUCUUGGUUAAUUAUUAAUAUAAGAAAGUGCAUUUUGAGACUAGGAUUAGAUACCCUAUUAUUUGCAUUGUAAAAUUUGGGCCUUAGUAUUAAUAGUUAUGAUCUUUAAAUUAAAAGAAUUUGGCGGUAACUUAAUCUUUCCAGAGGAACCUGUCCUGUAAUUGAUAAUCCACGUUGAAUUUUACUAUAAUUAAAGCUUGUAUACCUCUGUCAUUGAAUGUCUUGGGAAAGUAUUUUCUUUAAUCUUUUUGGGGAAUAAUGUUAGGUCAAGGUGCAGCAAUAUUGUAGGUAGAGAUGGGUUACAUUUAAUUUAUUAUUGGAUCUUUUGAUGUAAAUUUGUCUUGAGUGAAAUUGGAUUUGGAAGUAAUUAUUAUUAUUUAAUAAUAUUGAUUUUGGCUCUAAGUUAUGUACACAUCGCCCGUCACUCUCAUUUUAAGAUGAG
rnacentral:rRNA from 1 species